rnacentral:rRNA from 1 species
AGAGUUUGAUCCUGGCUCAGGAUGAACGCGGGCGGCGUGCCUAACACAUGCAAGUCGAACGAUUAAACCGCCCUCGGGCGGACAUAGAGUGGCGAACGGGUGAGUAACACGUGACCAACCUGCCCCGCGCUCCGGGACAACCGCUGGAAACGGCGGCUAAUACCGGAUACUCCGGGAGGGCCCCAUGGCCCUGCCGGGAAAGCCGAGACGGCGCGGGAUGGGGUCGCGGCCCAUUAGGUAGACGGCGGGGUAACGGCCCACCGUGCCCGCGAUGGGUAGCCGGACUGAGAGGUCGACCGGCCACAUUGGGACUGAGAUACGGCCCAGACUCCUACGGGAGGCAGCAGUGGGGAAUUUUGCGCAAUGGGGGAAACCCUGACGCAGCAACGCCGCGUGCGGGACGAAGGCCCUCGGGUUGUAAACCGCUUUCAGCAGGGAAGAUCCAAGACGGUACCUGCAGAAGAAGCUCCGGCUAACUACGUGCCAGCAGCCGCGGUAAUACGUAGGGGGCGAGCGUUAUCCGGAUUCAUUGGGCGUAAAGCGCGCGUAGGCGGCCGCCUAAGCGGGACCUCUAACCCCGGGGCUCAACCCCGGGCCGGGUCCCGGACUGGGCGGCUCGAGUGCGGUAGAGGAGAGCGGAAUUCCCGGUGUAGCGGUGGAAUGCGCAGAUAUCGGGAAGAACACCGAUGGCGAAGGCAGCUCUCUGGGCCGUCACUGACGCUGAGGCGCGAAAGCUGGGGGAGCGAACAGGAUUAGAUACCCUGGUAGUCCCAGCCGUAAACGAUGGGCGCUAGGUGUGGGGGGACGAUCCCUCCGUGCCGCAGCCAACGCAUUAAGCGCCCCGCCUGGGGAGUACGGCCGCAAGGCUAAAACUCAAAGGAAUUGACGGGGGCCCGCACAAGCAGCGGAGCAUGUGGCUUAAUUCGAAGCAACGCGAAGAACCUUACCAGGGCUUGACAUGCCGAUGAAGCCGGGGAGACCCGGUGGCCGAGAGGAGUCGGCGCAGGUGGUGCAUGGCUGUCGUCAGCUCGUGUCGUGAGAUGUUGGGUUAAGUCCCGCAACGAGCGCAACCCCCGCCCCGUGUUGCCAGCAUUCAGUUGGGGACUCGCGGGGGACUGCCGGCGUCAAGCCGGAGGAAGGUGGGGACGACGUCAAGUCAUCAUGCCCCUUAUGCCCUGGGCUGCACACGUGCUACAAUGGCCGGUACAGAGGGUUGCCACCCCGCGAGGGGGAGCGGAUCCCGGAAAGCCGGUCCCAGUUCGGAUCGCAGGCUGCAACCCGCCUGCGUGAAGCCGGAGUUGCUAGUAAUCGCGGAUCAGCACGCCGCGGUGAAUACGUUCCCGGGCCUUGCACUCACCGCCCGUCA